rnacentral:rRNA from 1 species
GACGAACGCUGGCGGCGUGCCUAACACAUGCAAGUGGAGCGACGAACCGGGCUUCGGCCCGGGGCAAAGCCGCGAACGGGUGAGUAACACGUGGGUUACCUGCCCCGAUGACCGGGACAACCCGAGGAAACUCGGGCUAAUACCGGAUGUGCCCGCAAGGGGAAAGGAAGCUUCGGCCUCUGCAUCGGGAUGGGCCCGCGGCCCAUUAGCUUGUUGGUGGGGUAAUGGCUCACCAAGGCAACGAUGGGUAGCUGGUCUGAGAGGACGAUCAGCCACACUGGGACUGAGACACGGCCCAGACUCCUACGGGAGGCAGCAGUGGGGAAUCUUGCGCAAUGCGCGAAAGCGUGACGCAGCAGCGCCGCGUGGGGGAAGAAGGCUUUCGGGUUGUAAACCCCUUUCAGUUGGGACGAAGCUUCGCCGGUGAAUAGCCGGCCGGAGUGACGGUACCUUCACAAGAAGCACCGGCUAACUACGUGCCAGCAGCCGCCGUAAAAC